AACGCACAUUGCGCCCGCCAGUAUUCUGGCGGGCAUGCCUGUUCGAGCGUCAUUUCAACCAUCAAGCCCCCCGGGCUUGUGUUGGGGACCUGCGGCUGCCGCAGGCCCUGAAAAGCAGUGGCGGGCUCGCUGUCACACCGAGCGUAGUAGCAUACAUCUCGCUCCGGUCGUGCUGCGGGUUCCGGCCGUUAAACCACCUUUUAACCCAAGGUUGACCUCGGAUCAGGUAGGAAGACCCGCUGAACUUAA
rnacentral:misc_RNA from 1 species